UACGUAGGUGGCAAGCGUUGUCCGGAUUUACUGGGCGUAAAGGAUGCGUAGGCGGACAUUUAAGUCAGAUGUGAAAUACCCCGAGCUUAACUUGGGUGCUGCAUUUGAAACUGGGUGUCUAGAGUGCAGGAGAGGUAAGUGGAAUUCCUAGUGUAGCGGUGAAAUGCGUAGAGAUUAGGAAGAACACCAGUGGCGGAAGGCGACUUACUGGACUGUAACUGACGCUGAGGCAUGAAAGCGUGGGGAGCAAACAGGAUUGAGAA
rnacentral:rRNA from 1 species